GACGAACGCUGGCGGCGUGCCUAAUACAUGCAAGUAGAACGCUGAAGGAGGAGCUUGCUUCUCUGGAUGAGUUGCGAACGGGUGAGUAACGCGUAGGUAACCUGCCUGGUAGCGGGGGAUAACUAUUGGAAACGAUAGCUAAUACCGCAUAAUAGUAGAUGUUGCAUGACAUUUGCUUAAAAGGUGCAAUUGCAUCACUACCAGAUGGACCUGCGUUGUAUUAGCUAGUUGGUGGGGUAACGGCUCACCAAGGCGACGAUGCAUAGCCGACCUGUGAGGGUGAUCGGCCACAAUGGGAAUGGAACACGGCACAGACACCUACGGGAGGCAGCAGGAGGGAAUCUUCGGCAAUGGACGGAAGUCUGACCGAGCAACGCCGCGUGAGUGAAGAAGGUUGUCGGAUCGUAAAGCUCUGUUGUAAGAGAAGAACGAGUGGGAGAGUGGAAAGUUCACACUGUGACGGUAUCUUACCAGAAAGGGACGGCUAACUACGUG
rnacentral:rRNA from 1 species